CCCUUAGAUGUUCUGGGCUGCACGCGUGCUACAAUGGCGCUUGCAACAAGUCCUGCCAACCCGAUAGGGUGAGCGGAUCUUUGAAGAGGCGUCGUGAUCGGGACAGUUGAUUGCAAUUAUUCGACUCGAACGAGGAAUUCCUUGUAAUCGCGAUUCAUCAUAUCGCGCUGAAUACGUCCCUGCCCUUUGUACACACCGCCCGUCGCUCCUACCGAUUGAGCGAUCCGGUGAAUGUUUUGGACUGGCGUCAGAAGCGGUUCGCUCCUGACACUACGAAAUUUUGUAAACCUUAUCGCUUAGAGGAAGGAAAAGUCGUAACA
rnacentral:rRNA from 1 species